GGAGCAGAGUGGCCAAAAAUUGCUCACAUCCCAAAUUUAUGGGUCGGUUGACAUCAAAUCAAACUCGUCAUCGCAUACAUGUAAAGCUGAUCAUAUUUUCGAAAAGAGAAGGCUUCGCAGAGCAAGCUCUGCUCAAUGAAUCUUUAGAACAAGGUAUUCAAUUUGGGAUAAAGAAAGGGAAACUUUUCAGACACCUGAGCUUGCUCAUACCAGCCCAUACUUGAUCCAAUAUAUGAAGG